CCUGCUAGGAUGUGAUGGGGAAGCCCUUCGGGGCGAAGUAGCUGAUUUCACACUGUCAAGAAAAGCUUCUAUCGAGUUUAAAGGCGCCCGUACCGUAAACCGACACAGGUGGGUGAGGAGAGUAUCCUAAGGCCAGCGAGAGAACUAUUGUUAAGGAACUCGGCAAAAUGACCCCGUAACUUAGGGAGAAGGGGUGCCUGUCUAUGACAGGCCGCAGAGAAUAGGCCCAAGCGACUGUUUACCAAAAACACAAGUUUCUGCUAAGUCGCAAGACGAUGUAUAGGAGCUGACGCCUGCCCGGUGCUGGAAGGUUAAGGGGAUCUGUUAGAGCAAUCGAAGCAGUGAACUUAAGCCCCAGUAAACGGCGGCCGUAACUAUAACGGUCCUAAGGUAGCGAAAUUCCUUGUCGGGUAAGUUCCGACCCGCACGAAAGGCGUAACGAUUUGGGCACUGUCUCAACAAUAGACUCGGUGAAAUUGUAAUCCCGGUGAAGAUGCCGGGUACCUGCGACAGGACGGAAAGACCCCAUGGAGCUUUACUGUAGCUUGGCGUUGGGUCUUGGUACUACAUGUACAGGAUAGGUGGGAGACUAUGAAGCAUGGACGCCAGUCUGUGUGGAGUCAUCCUUGGGAUACCACCCUUGUAGUACUGGGAUCCUAACCAUAGGCCUUGAAUCAGGUCUUGGAACACCGUCAGGUGGGCAGUUUGACUGGGGCGGUCGCCUCCUAAAAAGUAACGGAGGCGCUCAAAGGUUUCCUCAGCACGGUCGGAAAUCGUGCGAAGAGUGUAAAGGCAAAAGGAAGCUUGAUUGCAAGACAUACAGGUCGAGCAAGGACGAAAGUCGGACUUAGUGAUCCGGUGGUACCGCAUGGAAGGGCCAUCGCUCAACGGAUAAAAGCUACCCUGGGGAUAACAGGCUUAUCUCCCCCAAGAGUCCACAUCGACGGGGAGGUUUGGCACCUCGAUGUCGGCUCAUCACAUCCUGGGGCUGUAGUAGGUCCCAAGGGUUGGGCUGUUCGCCCAUUAAAGUGGUACGCGAGCUGGGUUCAGAACGUCGUGAGACAGUUCGGUCCCUAUCCGUCGCAGGCGUAGGAAAUUUGAGAAGACCUGUCCUUAGUACGAGAGGACCGGGAUGGACGUACCUCUGGUGUACCAGUUGUUCUGCCAAGGGCAUGGCUGGGUAGCUAUGUACGGAAUGGAUAAGCGCUGAAAGCAUCUAAGCGCGAAGCCAACUUCAAGAUAAGAUUUCCCACCGUAAGGGUAAGACCCCAGGAAGACUACCUGGUUGAUAGGUCGAAGGUGUAAGUGCAGUAAUGUAUUUAGCUUAU
rnacentral:rRNA from 1 species